rnacentral:rRNA from 1 species
CAUGGUCUGUAGCAAUACAGACUGAUGGCGAGUGGCGGACGGGUGAGUAACGCGUAGGGAUCUGCCCUGUAGUGGGGGAUAACCCGGGGAAACCCGGGCUAAUACCGCAUAAUACUCUGCGGAGGAAAGCUAGCUCGCAAGAGCUGGCGCUACUGGAGGAACCUGCGUCCGAUUAGUUAGCUGGUGAGGUAAAGGCUCACCAGGGCGAUGAUCGGUAGCUGGUCUGAGAGGAUGACCAGCCACACUGGGACUGAGACACGGCCCAGACUCCUACGGGAGGCAGCAGUGGGGAAUAUUGGACAAUGGGGGCAACCCUGAUCCAGCAAUACCGCGUGUGUGAAGAAGGCCUUCGGG